UACGUAGGGGGCUAGCGUUGUCCGGAAUCAUUGGGCGUAAAGCGCGUGUAGGCGGCCCGGUAAGUCCGCUGUGAAAGUCCAGGGCUCAACCCUGGGAUGCCGGUGGAUACUGUCGGGCUCGAGUCCGGAAGAGGCGAGUGGAAUUCCUGGUGUAGCGGUGGAAUGCGCAGAUAUCAGGAAGAACACCAACGGCGAAGGCAGCUCGCUGGGACGGUACUGACGCUGAGGCGCGAAAGCGUGGGGAGCGAACAGG
rnacentral:rRNA from 1 species